CCUACGGGAGGCAGCAGUGAGGAAUAUUGGUCAAUGGGCGCUAGCCUGAACCAGCCAAGUAGCGUGAAGGAUGACUGCCCUAUGGGUUGUAAACUUCUUUUAUAUGGGAAUAAAGUGCAGUAUGUAUACUGCUUUGCAUGUACCUUAUGAUUCAGGAUCGGCUAACUCCGUACCAGCAGCCGCGGUAAUCCGGAGGAUCCGAGCGUUAUCCGGGUGUAUUGGGUUUAAAGGGAGCGUAGGCGGGUUGUUAAGUCAGUUGUGAAAGUUUGCGGCUCAACCGUAAAAUUGCAGUUGAUACUGGCAGCCUUGAGUACAGUAGAGGUAGGCGGAAUUCGUGGUGUAGCGGUGAAAUGCGUAGAUAUCACGAAGAACUCCGAUUGCGAAGGCAGCCUGCUGGACUGUAACUGACGCUGAUGCUCGAAAGUGUGGGUAUCAAACAGGAUUAGAUACCCCUGUAGUC
rnacentral:rRNA from 1 species